UACGAAGGGGGAGCUAGCGUUGUUCGGAAUCACUGGGCGUAAAGGGCGCGUAGGCGGCUUUGUAAGUCGGGGGUGAAAGCCUGUGGCUCAACCACAGAAUUGCCUUCGAUACUGCAUGGCUUGAGACCGGAAGAGGUAAGUGGAACUGCGAGUGUAGAGGUGAAAUUCGUAGAUAUUCGCAAGAACACCAGUGGCGAAGGCGGCUUACUGGUCCGGUUCUGACGCUGAGGCGCGAAAGCGUGGGGAGCAAACAGG
rnacentral:rRNA from 1 species